rnacentral:siRNA from 1 species
UUGAUUUCUUUGCCGCUCUCU